rnacentral:sRNA from 1 species
UGCUUAUCCCAUUCUGGAAUCUGACUGAAAUGCGCUCUGUUCUGCCUCCAGUGCCACGGUCUCUCCAUCGAUGGUUAUGUCCUCCCAUCCUCGACGACCCGAGAGAUGACCCCGCAUGAGAUCAAGUUUGCUGUCCAUGUCGAAUCGGUGCUGAAUCGCGUGCCGCAGCCCGAGUACCGGCAGCUGCUGGUGGAAGCCAUCAUGGUGCUGACGCUGCUCUCGGACACGGAGAUGACCAGCAUCGGGGGCAUCAUCCACGUGGACCAGAUCGUGCAGAUGGCCAGUCAGCUGUUCUUGCAGGACCAGGUGUCAAUUGGCGCCAUGGACACCCUGGAGAAAGACCAAGCCACAGGAAUCUGCCACUUCUUUUAUGACAGCGCUCCGAGUGGGGCUUACGGGACGAUGACCUACCUAACAAGAGCAGUGGCUUCUUAUUUGCAGGAAUUGUUGCCCAAUUCGGGCUGCCAGAUGCAAUAGGGUCUCACCUGGAAACAUGGUCACACUCUCAAUCUGU